AACGAACGCUGGCGGCGUGCCUAACACAUGCAAGUCGUGCGAGAAAGUUCCUUCGGGAGCGAGUAAAGCGGCGCACGGGUGAGUAACACGUAGGUAACCUGCCCCCCAGUCCGGAACAACUAGAGGAAACUCUAGCUAAUGCCGGAUGAGACCACGAUCCCUUCGGGGGUUGCGGCCAAAGAUGGCCUCUACUUGUAAGCUAUCGCUGAGGGAUGGGCCUGCGGGCCAUUAGCUUGUUGGUGAGGUAACGGCUCACCAAGGCUGUGAUGGCUAGCUGGUCUGAGAGGAUGACCAGCCACACUGGGACUGAGACACGGCCCAGACUCCUACGGGAGGCAGCAGUGGGGAAUAUUGCGCAAUGGGCGAAAGCCUGACGCAGCGACGCCGCGUGGGUGAUGAAGGCCU
rnacentral:rRNA from 1 species